GAAGGUAUAGCUCAGUGAUAAGAGCGCAUGCCUAGCAUGCACAAUGUCCUGGAUUCAAUCCCUAGUACCUCCA
rnacentral:tRNA from 1 species